rnacentral:misc_RNA from 1 species
GAUGAAGAACGCAGCGAAAUGCGAUACGUAAUGUGAAUUGCAGAAUUCAGUGAAUCAUCGAGUCUUUGAACGCACAUUGCGCCCCCUGGUAUUCCGGGGGGCAUGCCUGUCCGAGCGUCAUUGCUGCCCUCAAGCACGGCUUGUGUGUUGGGCCUCCGUCCUCCUCCCGGGGGACGGGCCCGAAAGGCAGCGGCGGCACCGCGUCCGGUCCUCGAGCGUAUGGGGCUUCGUCACCCGCUCUUGUAGGCCCGGCCGGCGCUUGCCGACACAUCAAUCUUUUUUCCAGGUUGACCUCGGAACAGGUAGGGAUACCCGCUGAACUUAAGCAUAUCAAUAAGCGGAGGA